GGCGCCUACGGGACGCAGCAGUAGGGAAUUUUCGGCAAUGGGGGGAACCCUGACCGAGCAACGCCGCGUGAGGGAAGACGGUUUUCGGAUUGUAAACCUCUGUCCUCUGUGAAGAUGAUGACGGUAGCAGAGGAGGAAGCUCCGGCUAACUACGUGCCAGCAGCCGCGGUAAUACGUAGGGAGCAAGCGUUGUCCGGAUUUACUGGGUGUAAAGGGUGCGUAGGCGGCUUUGCAAGUCAGAAGUGAAAUCUAUGGGCUUAACCCAUAAACUGCUUUUGAAACUGCAGGGCUUGAGUGAAGUAGAG
rnacentral:rRNA from 1 species